AGUAAUAAAAAUACAGCAAUAUUUUUUUUAUGAAACACCCAUCUCACGUACAUUGACGGCCUUAAAACAAACGAAACUACAUAAAUGCAGUUGCAACGAACAUUACUAUCUCUUUGUGUUUGUUACACAAGCCGUUUCAUGAUCAUGUGUUUUGUAAACACCAGUUUUUAUGAGUGUUGUUACUUUAGUUUCGUAGCGAAAACAUUCUAUUUCGAAAACGUAAGGUCAUUUAUUUUUGAAAAGCGUUGAUCAAGAGAGGAGCUCGCGAAACACUUCACAUGUUAAGCAGUUAUCGCAGUCAAUGGACAUCAAGACCAGCAUCCAUAUCGGAAUACCAUUUGAUGUUCCUAUGACAAGAUUAGGUUCCUUCAUCAUGGGCGUAAUAUCUGUCAGUUGAACGUUGAUAGAGCAGACCGGCGACGUACCUGCUGGUGCUGGCGGUGGAGGAGGAGCGGCGCGCGCUGCGCAGACGGUCGGCGGCGGAGUGGCGCCGGUGCUCCUCCUGCUCGGCCGCCAGACGCAGUAUACGACUCCGCAGCUCGCCCUCUUCGCAUAUAUCUGUACCACACGACAAUAUAUAGUAUAUUAAUACGUGAAGCAAAAGCUUAGUACCCCUUUUUACGAAAAUUGCGCGGACGGAGGAGUAUGAAAUUUCCCACACUUGUAGAGAAUAUAGAGAAGAAGUGCAGAAUGCUAAUAUUUUUUUUAAAUUAUGUAUUAAAAAUACAUUAAAUCAGUAAAGAAAACAUUACACA